rnacentral:rRNA from 1 species
UACGGGGGGGGCAAGCGUUGUUCGGAUUCAUUGGGCGUAAAGGGUGCGUAGGCGGCGCGGUAAGUCGGGUGUGAAAUCUCGGGGCUUAACUCCGAAACUGCAUUCGAUACUGCCGUGCUUGAGGACUGGAGAGGAGACUGGAAUUCCUGGUGUAGCGGUGAAAUGCGCAGAUAUCAGGAGGAACACCGGUGGCGAAGGCGGGUCUCUGGGCCGUAACUGACGCUGAGGAGCGAAAGCGUGGGGAGCAAACAGG